GACGAACGCUGGCGGCGUGCCUAAUACAUGCAAGUAGAACGCUGAAGGAAGAGCUUGCUUCUCUGGAUGAGUUGCGAACGGGUGAGUAACGCGUAGGUAACCUGCCUGGUAGCGGGGGAUAACUAUUGGAAACGAUAGCUAAUACCGCAUAAUAGUAGAUGUUGCAUGACAUUUGCUUAAAAGGUGCAAUUGCAUCACUACCAGAUGGACCUGCGUUGUAUUAGCUAGUUGGUGAGGUAACGGCUCACCAAGGCAACGAUACAUAGCCGACCUGAGAGGGUGAUCGGCCACACUGGGACUGAGACACGGCCCAGACUCCUACGGGAGGCAGCAGUAGGGAAUCUUCGGCAAUGGACGGAAGUCUGACCGAGCAACGCCGCGUGAGUGAAGAAGGUUUUCGGAUCGUAAAGCUCUGUUGUAAGAGAAGAACGAGUGUGAGAGUGGAAAGUUCACACUGUGACGGUAUCUUACCAGAAAGGGACGGCUAACUACGUG
rnacentral:rRNA from 1 species